rnacentral:rRNA from 1 species
CAACGAAUAUUCCGCAAUGGGCGAAAGCCUGACGGAGCGACGCCGCGUGUGGGAAGAAGCCCUUCGGGGUGUAAACCACUGUCAGGGGCUACCAACAAAAUGAGGAGCCCCAGAGGAAGCCACGGCUAACUCUGUGCCAGCAGCCGCGGUAAGACAGAGGUGGCUAGCGUUGUUCGGAAUCAUUGGGCUUAAAGCGCACGUAGGCGGCCCUUCAAGUGUCUUGUGAAAUCCCUCGGCUCAACCGAGGAAUCGCUGGGCAUACUGUCGGGCUUGAGGCAGGUAUGGGCGAGUGGAACUCUUGGUGGAGCGGUGGAAUGCGUAGAUAUCAAGAGGAACGCCGGUGGUGAAGACGAUUCGCUGGGCCUGUCCUGACGCUGAGGUGCGAAAGCCAGGGGAGCAAACGGG